rnacentral:rRNA from 1 species
CCUACGGGCGGCAGCAGUGAGGAAUAUUGGUCAAUGGGCGCAAGCCUGAACCAGCCAAGUCGCGUGAGGGAAUAAGGCCCUGCGGGUCGUAAACCUCUUUUGCCGGGGAGCAGUCCUCAGGACGCGUCCGGACCGGGAGAGUACCCGGAGAAAAAGCAUCGGCUAACUCCGUGCCAGCAGCCGCGGUAAUACGGAGGAUGCGAGCGUUAUCCGGAUUUAUUGGGUUUAAAGGGUGCGUAGGCGGGCAGUUAAGUCGGCGGUAAAAUGUCGGGGCUCAACCCCGGCCUGCCGUCGGAACUGGCUGCCUUGAGGGGGCGAGAAGUAUGCGGAAUGCGUGGUGUAGCGGUGAAAUGCAUAGAUAUCACGCAGAACCCCGAUUGCGAAGGCAGCAUACCGGCGCCCUACUGACGCUGAGGCACGAAAGUGCGGGUAUCGAACAGGAUUAGAUACCCGAGUAGUC